UACGUAGGGUGCGAGCGUUAAUCGGAAUUACUGGGCGUAAAGGCGUGCGUAGACGGUUAUUUAAGUCGGGUGUGAAAGCCCCGGGCUCAACCUGGGAAUUGCAUUCGAGACUGAAUAGCUAGGGUACGGUAGAGGGAAGCGGAAUUUCCGGUGUAGCGGUGAAAUGCGUAGAUAUCGGAAGGAACACCAGUGGCGAAAGCGGCUCCCUGGUCCAGCACCGACGUUCAGGCACGAAAGCGUGGGGAGCAAACAGG
rnacentral:rRNA from 1 species